UACGUAGGGUGCAAGCGUUAAUCGGAAUUACUGGGCGUAAAGCGUGCGCAGGCGGUUUUGUAAGUUUGUCGUGAAAGCCCCGGGCUCAACCUGGGAAUUGCGAUGAAGACUGCAAGGCUUGAAUCUGGCAGAGGGGGGUAGAAUUCCACGUGUAGCAGUGAAAUGCGUAGAGAUGCGGAGGAACACCGAUGGCGAAGGCAGCCCCCUGGGCUAACACUGACGCUCGAGGCACGAAAGCGUGGGGAGCAAACAGG
rnacentral:rRNA from 1 species